rnacentral:RNase_P_RNA from 2 species
GGAGACGGCCGAUGAUCGCCGGACGAUAUUUUUGUCCGGAGGAAAGUCCGGGCUCCACAGGGCGGGGUGGUCCGUAACGCGGACCGGGGGUGACCCCAGGGAAAGUGCCACAGAAAAUAUACCGCCGGGCACUUGUGCCCGGUAAGGGUGAAAAGGUGAGGUAAGAGCUCACCAGUUGCGGCGGUGACGUCGCAGGCUUGGUAAACCCCAUCCGGAGCAAGACCAAAUAGGGGAGCACUUGAGAGUGGCCCGCUCGAAGCUCCCGGGUAGGUCGCUUGAGGUGUCGAGCAAUCGACGUCCCAGAUGAAUGAUCAUCACCUUGGCUUUACCAAGGGAACAGAACCCGGCUUAUGACUGUCUCCAAAG